rnacentral:lncRNA from 1 species
GUCAAAAGUCAAUAAUAUUUAUUCAAAGUCAAAAGUUCGACUAGUCAAAGCCAAGGUCAAUUAGGGACUUAAAUGAAAUUAAUUAUUUUAUUGGGGUUCAUUUUAUGAUUUAAGAUAUAUGAAUGUUUGAGAUGGACAUCAUUUAAAUUUGGGAAAAUACUUAUUAAUUAUUAGAAGUUAGAUGACUUAAUAAGAUAUCAUGUGAAGUUUGGAGGACUUGAUAGCAAAAAGGGUUUAGUUGGUUGAUUACAGGUGGCACCUUGCAAGCCAUUUCUUUCAUUUUUCAUAUUACAUACAUACACAUAAAGAAACUGAAAACGGGGGCAAAAAUAGGGGGGGAAAUUGGCAAAAGAAAGAGAAAAAGAAAAGAAGAAAGAAAAGGAAGAAGAAGAAGGAAGAGGAAAAAAAAUGAUGGCAAUACCAACAUGGUCCUUAAAGUUCUUCCUUAAUUUCUUCAGGUAAAUAAAAGAUGUAUUUAUGGGAAAUAAUUCUUGAAUUUAAGGUUUGUAAACAACUAUUCAUGUUUAAAGUGUGACAAGAAUUAAAGAUUAUGAAUAUGUAUUUGAGGUUAUAACUAAAUUAUGGCAAAGAAAUAUGUAAUUGUCAAUUAGUGUUGAAGAAAGUGGAAUUUGAGAUCGGUUUGUGAAAGAAAUACAUAUGCUUUAAAAUUUUUG